UUUUAUUUUAUUUGAAGGAGAGGCAGUGUUCCUUGUGACAUUCUAAUUUUUUUUGCUAGUUUUUUUUUUUUUUCCUCAAUCAAAAGGAGACAAAAUCACUUCAGAAUUUUCAUCAGGGAGAAUGAGCAUCAUCAGUGUGGAUAAUUUACUGCUCUUGGCUCUGUGACACGAGCACAGUCCCCUGUGUCACAGAGAGCCCUGAUCACAGAAGGGUGGGCUCUCUGUCAGAGAUGACUUCAUCAGGGAUUAAGCCGCUAUGAAAGAUGUUUUCAAAGGUGAUUCUAUAAUCCCCUGCUUCCUUCAUACUCUUUUGCAAUGUGGUCUAGACUCUCCCUCCAUCCAGAGAUGAACUCUUCCCCUCCCCUGGAAUCUGAUUUGACCUUGUGACUUCCUUUGGCCAGGAGAGUGCAGCAGAGGGAUGUUCUGUGGCUUCAGGGCAGAGCCUUAAGAGGCCUUGAAGCUUCCAUUUUCACCCAUUUGGAGCCCUGUGCCAUCAUGCAUAGAUGUCCCACUAUCUCGCUGGAAAGACCAUGUGGACAGAGAGGUGCCUGGGUAUUUUAGCCAUCUCAGCUGACAUGCCAUGUGAUGAAGGCCAUCUUGGAUCACCACUCCAGCUGAUCUGCAGAUGAUUACAACAACAAGAGUGAGCUCAGGUGAAACCAGAAGAACAGCCCAGCUGAGCCCAUUUCACGCUGCAGAAUCAUGAGAAAACAAAGUUGUUAUGCAGCAGACAUAAUGGAUGUGGUUAAUUCUCUGUGACUGGUCUGCCUGUGCAUCAAUAAAAGCAUAUUUGCAAUUUCAAGGCACUAAGAAGAUGAAGAGUUGAGCCUCUGCUCAGCAUCUUACUGAGCCGAUGUGCUUGUGGAGGAAGAAAACAAGACCUAUCUGAAAGGCAGUGGACCGAGUUAUUUUGCCUGGGUAAGCAGAGAAGGAAUAUAUCCUAGAAUUGGUGGAAAGGGGAUGCCAUGGGACAAAAGGAAAGUGAACAUGGAGCCAGCCUUCAGAAGUUGUGAGGUAUUGGGUUGUAUCUAUUCCCUGAGUGGACCUGGUCUAAUACAAAGCCGAUAUAGGAGAAGAGGCUGGAAAUGCAUCCAUUCACUACUCUAUUUACCUGUGGGAAGACUAUGA
rnacentral:lncRNA from 1 species